AAAGAAACCAACAGGGAUUGCCCUAGUAACGGCGAGUGAAGCGGCAACAGCUCAAAUUUGAAAUCUGGCUCUUUCAGGGUCCGAGUUGUAAUUUGCAGAGGGCGCUUUGGCGUUGGCAGCGGUCCAAGUUCCUUGGAACAGGACGUCACAGAGGGUGAGAAUCCCGUACGUGGUCGCUGGCCUUCGCCGUGUAAAGCCCCUUCGACGAGUCGAGUUGUUUGGGAAUGCAGCUCUAAAUGGGAGGUAAAUUUCUUCUAAAGCUAAAUACUGGCCAGAGACCGAUAGCGCACAAGUAGAGUGAUCGAAAGAUGAAAAGCACUUUGGAAAGAGAGUCAAAUAGCACGUGAAAUUGUUGAAAGGGAAGCGCUUGCAGCCAGACUUGCCUGUAGUUGCUCAUCCGGGCUUUUGCCCGGUGCACUCUUCUAUAGGCAGGCCAGCAUCAGUUUGGGCGGUUGGAUAAAGGUCUCUGUCAUGUACCUCCUUUCGGGGAGGCCUUAUAGGGGAGACGACAUGCAACCAGCCUGGACUGAGGUCCGCGCAUUUGCUAGGAUGCUGGCGUAAUGGCUGUAAGCGGCCCGUCUUGAAACACGGACCAAGGAGUCUAACAUCUAUGCGAGUGUUUGGGUGUCAAGCCCGAACGCGUAAUGAAAGUGAACGGAGGUGGGAACCCUUUAGGGUGCACCAUCGACCGAUCCUGAUGUCUUCGGAUGGAUUUGAGUAAGAGCAUGGCUGUUGGGACCCGAAAGAUGGUGAACUAUGCUUGAAUAGGGUGAAGCCAGAGGAAACUCUGGUGGAGGCUCGCAGCGGUUCUGACGUGCAAAUCGAUCGUCAAAUUUGGGCAUAGGGGCGNAAGACUAAUCGAACUAUCUAGUAGCUGGUUCCUGC
rnacentral:rRNA from 1 species